rnacentral:miRNA from 1 species
UAGUGCUGCAAUGUAAAACAUUGCAGUUCCAUAAAAACUGCAAUGUUUACAUUGCAGCUCUA